rnacentral:lncRNA from 1 species
CCAGCACUUUCUCGGUUUUAAAAGAAGAGGUUAGGGCCUCUUUUUUAUAUACAACAAAAAUACCACAGUUUUAGAGAUACCACGGUUUGUUGAACUGCAGUACUUUUUUCAUCCAAACGACUCAAAGUAUUAAAUACCAAAGUUUUUUCCAGAAACCACAGUAUUCCAGAAAACCACAAAAAUACUUUGGCUUCCAAACGCACCCUUAAUUUUUUUAAAAAGCCCGUAGCAACUCACGGGCAUUCUAGUAUCUCUAGUCUAUCUGUGAUAAUCGUGAGAGGGAAGACCAGUAACGUUAUAUAACACUAUAACAACACUAACUCAAACAACACCAGACUGAAACUGAGGCGGUCGUGGAUCCUAUCAUACUCUUAGAAACCAAAGGCACCAGCUGGCCCUCCUCUAUAACUGGUCUCUUCCAAGCACGAGUACAAGACAGUGAGGGCGAACAUGAUCCCGGUGCCAGAGCCGACCACGCCAGCAAGGUCUGCCAGAAGCGUAAGUGCACCAAUGCAGAGUCCUACAAGAAACGCUGCCUUGCCUACAUAGCACCUCCAUAGCUGCAGAGGAACAGAGUCCGGCUGGGCGACUGUUACAUUUCGUCGCUCCUGUAGGAACACAAGAGCGACAAGUAAGAUUACUAGUAAGUACUCCCUCCGUCCCAUAAUAUAAGAACGUUUUCUAGCUAGUGCUACUACUGAGAGAUAGAUGCAUGCUCUCCGGUCUCCUGGUAAUUUUAGAUUCACUUACCCCAAGCAACCUGCCAACGCACUGAAAAGGGAAAAUGACGUAAGGCCACACCCCAGAAGCUGCCACAGCGCAUAAACCAGUGUGAGGAAUGGGUGUCUUCCUACUUCAGCCAAGCUUCAAUUCCAGGAGGAAACAUUUUACAUGUCAGUAAAACUUUCAAUUCAAAAGUAUCAAUGGAUAGUCUACUAGUUCCGACUAUUUUUCUAUCUCAUCGCCCACAAUGCUUUCUUUUAGAAAAAGUGAAUAUGGGUGCAUACUAACGUUGGUGGUGUAGUAACGUAGUAGGCUAAGCCACUGACUGGAACUGCUUGCCCAAAAUAUCUGGAUUUCUUCCAUUUGCCCAGCAAAAUGACCACCUUGUUCUUUUCACCAAACUUCACGUACAGCAACUGCAUAAUAGUAUUCCAAAAGGACAUAAAGCAUAUUACUUUUUUUGGCAUUUUCACCAAAUUUACUCGGUAUGAAACAAAAGCAUAAUGUGAUAAUAAUAAUAAUAAUAAUAAUAAUAAUAAUAAUAGUAAUAAUAGUAAUAGUAAUAGUAAUAAUAAUAAUAAUAAUAAUAAUAGUAGUAGUAAUAGUAGUAGUAGUAGUAUAUAUACUUUCCUUUUUGGCAUUUCUCAAAUUCAAUGCUCCCUCAGGUUUUUAAGUAAGGGCGUCAGGAUACAUUUUUAGAUAAAAAAUGAACUGAAAGUGUUGUCCUAAUGUCAUCAAUUAAAAACCAGAGUGAGAACAAUAUAUUGACGCCACAAGCUUUAGUAAAAAAAUACUGCAUUAAAAAUAUUUUUUGGAAACAAAUAGAGCUGAUCCAUGGCAAAUAUUCCAUGUGCAUGUGCGUCAUGCAAUCAUAUGCAAAAAAAUCACAUAUUAAUAGUUUUGGCAACUGAGAGUAUUCUACAGUGAUGUGGCUGGUACCUCUGAGAUGAUGUAUAGGAAUAUGGCCAUUACAUCCUGGAAGAGUAGGGGUGCAAAGGACAGGUAGGAAAGCUUGAUGGCAUAGUUCAUUUGCAUACUAGGCACCUCACUGGAUCUCAGUGGCAACAUGGCAUGGAAGCCUUGCAGGCUGAGGACGAGUAGAAAGAAGGCGCACGUGGAAAGCACACUAGCCAUCUCCGGGAGGUCUCGACAUCCGUACACCUUAUGCAUCGAAGACAAUUUGUAGUUUCCAUUACCAACGAAUCGAUGAAUAAGGGAGGAAGUGAGAGCUUCCCCAUGUUGAUCACCAUGCUGCCCACCGUAUAGCUUUAUGAUACAGGGGCUAAAAGCUUUCCAGAAAAUACUUGUACUGCACAAAUGAAACAUAUGGCCCAUUAACUUUGAGUUAAUAUAACUACAGGACAUGUAUGUAUUAUUGCUUAGGCUAAUUCACUUACUCCUUCCGUCCGCGAAUAAGUGUACAUCUAGCUUUUGUCUUAAGUCAAAGUUUUAAUACUUUGACCAAAUUUCUAGGAAAGAGUAAAAGCAUUUAUGGCACCAAAUUAGUAUCACUAGAUUCGUUUUGAAAUGUACUUUCAUAAUAUAUCAAUUUGAUGUCAUAUAUGUUACUACUAUUUUUUAUAAAGUUGGUCAAAAUUUUAAAACUUUGACUUAGAACAAAAGCUAGAUGUACACUUAUUCGCGGACGGAGGGAGUAAUUGCUUAUCAAGACCAGAUCUUGCUGGAGAGAUGGAGUCGUGACAGUAUGACUCCAACCGUCAAGGUUUAAAUCGCAAUGCCUAAGGUUUAAACCACUACCAUCAAGCAUUGUUUUCCAGUUGAAUCAAUUUGACAGGAAAAGCAUAUAGUCUGCCAGUGCCAGUGCAUUCAGUGCUAAUAUUUGUAGACCCUUCAAAAGGGAAAAUGAAACAUAGCUGACUAGUUGUUAUUGUGCCAGGGUCAAUCAGUUAAACUUUCAUUUAAACACCUUUNNNNNNNNNNNNNNNNNNNNNNNNNNNNNNNNNNNNNNNNNNNNNNNNNNNNNNNNNNNNNNNNNNNNNNNNNNNNNNNNNNNNNNNNNNNNNNNNNNNNNNNNNNNNNNNNNNNNNNNNNNNNNNNNNNNNNNNNNNNNNNNNNNNNNNNNNNNNNNNNNNNNNNNNNNNNNNNNNNNNNNNNNNNNNNNNNNNNNNNNNNNNNNNNNNNNNNNNNNNNNNNNNNNNNNNNNNNNNNNNNNNNNNNNNNNNNNNNNNNNNNNNNNNNNNNNNNNNNNNNNNNNNNNNNNNNNNNNNNNNNNNNNNNNNNNNNNNNNNNNNNNNNNNNNNNNNNNNNNNNNNNNNNNNNNNNNNNNNNNNNNNNNNNNNNNNNNNNNNNNNNNNNNNNNNNNNNNNNNNNNNNNNNNNNNNNNNNNNNNNNNNNNNNNNNNNNNNNNNNNNNNNNNNNNNNNNNNNNNNNNNNNNNNNNNNNNNNNNNNNNNNNNNNNNNNNNNNNNNNNNNNNNNNNNNNNNNNNNNNNNNNNNNNNNNNNNNNNNNNNNNNNNNNNNNNNNNNNNNNNNNNNGAAUGGAGCAUAGUUGUAGGAUUUCGGUCUUACCAAAUGUCGGUGGCACUGAACAAGGGGAUACUCGAAAGAAACCCAUAUCCCUUUUUAAGGAGAUCAUCAAGAUAAAUGACGAUGACACUUCCAAAGAAAUGCUGAAGCACGAUCAGAAUUGACUGCCCUAAGGUCAGUUUGCCCAAGAUAGGUGAAAUUAGCACCCUGCAGACUGAGAAAUCAGCGGCAAAAAUUAUCCCAACCAACUUCUGCACCCGACUCCUGAGAAUAAUUGAUAUAAUCAUUAGACUUAUAUAUGGAGAAAAGAUGAGGAAAAAAAACUGAAUACUACAUCUGGUCAUAAAAGCAUCAACAGGACCCCCAAAAUAGAACUUUGAAGAUUAAAGUCUACUGUAUUAUGCUUACACAAAUUGUCAAAUUGUCAGUUUUUGAAUUUUGACUGAAUGGAGAAGAGACUUAUAUUAGCAGUACUUACAGGAGCAUCCGGUCCUCAGGAUUGUUUGCUCUAAGAACCUUACACCACAGCAGGAAAUGAAGCACCGCCUCAGACAGAACAAGGGGCAUGAUCCCAGCAGACAUGACGGAGUUGCAGUCGGGCAUGUCAACCCAGUACUGAGAGUCAGCAACCGAUGGAGAACGGACUCCAUAUCCAUACACAGGCAGUUGGCUGCCGACAAGGUAGAUGAGGAGGGAAAUGGCCGUGUAAGCCACCUUCUGGCAGCGAGGGACCAUGCUGCUAGGCCUCUGGACCUCCGGUAAGAUCCCCACCACUUGCAGGGCCAGAUUGGGCAGCUCCAGCCAGCGAUCUGCCAUUGAAUUUGUGAUGACGUGCAGCUAGAUUACAAUUGUUAGUACCUGUGGCAUGCAGAGAAGUGAAGCAACACAAACGUUUUUUUGUGUGUGUUAGCAACACAAACGUUAACUUGCACACUGAAAUCAAAGAGUAACAAUACUAUAUUACUCUGAAACAGUUCGGAAAGAAGUAGAUAGGUGCCCUCGAAGAAAGUCUUUCUUCACUAGAGAAGAAAUUAAAUCCACCUUGUACUCUAAACCAAUUCCGAGACAGGCAGACAGCCGCCCUGGCUAAUGCCAACCGAGAGACCCGCCACCACCCCCAUCCCCCUGCUAAAAAAAAGAAACUCCCCGUCUCCAUCCCGAUUGGGAAGAAAUCCCCCCAUCUUCGCACCCUCCCAAGUCCACGGGCAAGGGAUCAAACCCAUCCCCACCACAUCCAGCCUAAAUUUCAACUACGAAAAGGACGAUUAGAGGAUUGGGGGAGGAGAGCUCAGCUAUCACCUUCCGUCGAAGCUGGACGGGGAGGGCCAAGCCAAGCCAACCCAAGGCGGUAGGGUUCUUGCCGCAGUUGCGCUGGCCGCACGAGACCGAGCCGCUGCUAAGCCUUAGCCGCUGUGGUGCUGCCUGUGUGGCGACGGGCGGCGAGAGGAGAGAAUGCUCCCAGAAAAUAUUAGACGUUGGAUGAAAGAUGGAUGGAUGCACAUGAUCUGGGCGACUGGUAGAUUUUUUUUGGGUCUUUUACAUCUGUGUCCCUAACUCGAACCACCUAAUCAGAUAUACCCCUAAUUCGAAAGCCUGCUCAAAAAUGCCCCUCCGCCGUUAUGUGCACUUAUAGAAAUGCCCUUCCGCUCCGUUACCGUCCGGUCAAAGGCCUUUGACCGUCAACAUGACGUUUUCUGGACAUUUCUACCCCUCCCUCCAUGUGACACUUACGUGUGGGACCCACUCAAACAAAAAUAAAAAGAAAAGGCUCUAUCUCUCCUCUCUCUGCCUGUCUCACCUACAUGUAGGACCCACCAAAAAAAAUCUUUCCUGUCUCUCCCUCAACUCCGGCGGGAGCGCACGCAACUAGCAGUAGCCUCGCCGGGGUGAGGUGCUGCACGGCUCCGGCCCCUUAUGACCUCCUCGAUCCGGUCCACGCCCCCACUCCCCCGCGCACCCUCUUUUCUCUCUGCCACGCGACAAAGACGUGGUCCACGGGAAUCAUGGUCGUCCGCCCAGGUGUUGUUCGUCAUGCAGGCGGCCAACGGGAACCCCACGACCCGUAGCCUUGUCCAAGGGAUCCGCCUGUUCAUCCUCGACUUCCACACCGAAUUAAUUGAAGUAUAACGCCUCAAAUCAGUGUGGUUGAUGUCGUCUUCUCCCCCUCCGGUGAUGCUUUGCCGCGCCUCGAUCUCCUCUGCUACGCGUCCCUAUGCUCUAUCUUGGUUGCCUCGUCGAGAUCUGGUGCUUACAGACCCUGUGGACCCCUCGCUGCAGAGCCCUUCAUUCCCGAGCCAUCGUGUCAGCGUCACCUCGCUCCGUCGUCCGCCAUGGACGACGAGGUCGUCGCUCUGGUGAAUCCCAAGCCUCCUGUAUCAUGCCUUCAUCAAAUAAGUGAGCCACUUAUGUGUUUGCUCACGUUCUUUAGUCCCCCCCCCUCUAUAGCUUGCCCGUGCCUAGCGCCUUCCGCCGUUGCCACGGGACCUUGUCGCCGGCGAGCUUCCCGGCUGCUCUACAAACUCCCAGUGCCCUUGCGGACCAGCCCGUGACCCCGCCUUGCUCCAGGACCGUUCACAGCUCGCCCUAGCGUGCUCCCGCGCAGUCCCGAGCCAACCCUGGAGCGCCUGUGCUCGUCGGAGUUCAAGCUCCGUCGUGUAGAUGGGAGGUGACAUGUGGGUGAUAUGUGGGCCCCAUGUGAAAUUGAUAUUUUUUAUUUUCGGUCCCACGUGUAAGUGAGACGACAGAGAGAGAUUUUUCUUUUUAUUUUUCUUUGAGUGGGUCCCACGCGUAAGGGACACAUGGAGGGAGGGGUACAAAUGUCCAGAAAACGUCCCGUUGACGGUCAAAUGCCUUUGACCGGAUGGUAACGGAGCGGAAGGGCAUUUCUAUAAGUGCACAUAACGGCGGAGGGGCAUUUUUGAGCAGGCUUUUGAAUUAGGGGUAUAUCUGAUUAGGUGGUUCGAGUUAGGGACAGAAAUGCAAAUGGCCCUUUUUUUAGUACAGUAAAACCGAGACACUCGAUCCCUCAAAAAAGAAAAAAAUGAGACACUCGAGGACGGGGCGUCGACCCAUUGGCUGGGAAGCUGGGGUAGCUGCCAGCCCACCCGGGUUCGAGCCUCGGCUCUAACAAGCGGUGCUCUUCGAGUUUUUUUUUUCAACCCUCUCAGAGCAUCUGCAGCCGGAUGCCACAAACCCGCCUCAAAAGCCCGGGAUGAUGGCACCUGGAGAUUAAAUAUCUGCCGUGAAGUGAUCGGUAGCACAGUAAUAUGGUGAUUUUGAUAGCAGUGGUAACAGUAGGAGCGGCAAUAGUAACUUAGCAAAAGCAAUAUGUGGAAAAUUCGUAGGCAUUGGACCGGGUGAAGUCGUUGGAUGAUAUUCAUCAUAUAACAGUCAUAACCUAGGGCGAUACAAAACUAGUUCCAGUUCAUAAAUAUGCGUGCUUAUGAAAUAAAUUUGCAUGACAUCUUUUAUCCUACCCUUCCGUGGCAACGGAGUCCAUAAGGUAACUAAGGGAUAUCAAGGCCUCCUUUUAAUAGAGAACCGGAACAAAGCAUUCACUCAUAAUGAAUACAUGAAUUCCUAAGGCCUGACCCAAUUCAUUAGGUUAUGGGAGGCUUUGUUAGAAGUACAGUUGACCCAGGAGGUGGAGGAUAGACCGAUCUGGGCAUGGAGCACCACUGGAAUUUACACGGCGGCAUCGGCUUAUAAGAUGAUGUGCGAAGGGGGGAUCAGGUUCCAGUCGGCAGCAGCAAUAUGGAAGUGUUGGACGCCGCUAGGGUGCAAAUCUUCAUGUGGCUCGCCAUACUGCAUAGGCUCUGGACGUCUGACCGGCGCGUGCGUCACGGGUUGCAAGAUGUGAUAUCGCCAUGCUAUCUUUGCGACCAGGAAGAGGACACAAUAGAACACAUCCUGAUGCAAUGUGUGUUCGCCAGGCAGGUUUGGCACCUUUGUUUCGUGGAGACGGAGACUAAUUUGUCGUUCAUGCCUACGGGACAAGAAUCGCUCCAGGACUGGUGGAACUCGGCUCAGAAGCAGGUCACAAAAGCACACCGCAAGGACUUUGAUGCUAUGGUGAUGCUCGUGUGUUGGUGCAUUUGGAAGCAAAGGAAUGGGAGAGUGUUCGGAAGAAAUGAUAAUUGUAAUGAGCGAGGCACGUUUCAGUCCAUCAUGAGAGAGCGACACCUUUGGGCGAUUGCAAGAAGGGGUGGAGUCCAACCGAGUCGUGAGUAGUCAGCUAGGUGGUGUGGAGUAGGGGUGGGUAGGCUCGCCGUGUGUGAGGCCUGCAUUUGUAAAAUAACUCUUGUAAUUAUCUCUCUUCCGUCUAUAAAGCUAAGGUACGCCUUUGGCGUACUCUCAAAAAAAGAAUACAUGAACUCCUCAAACUACGAUCAUCACCGGAAAGUAUCCCAAUCACUGUCACCCUAGGGUUUACAGAUCAUAACGCGUAAUAGGUAAAUAUGACUUGCAAGAUUGGAUUUAGAACAUCGAUAUAAUGGUGAAAAGAUAAACGGUUCAGAUCUGGAAUCAUGACACUCGUGCCCUAGUGACAAGCAUUAAGCAUGGCAAAGUCAUAACAACAUCAAUCUCAGAAUAUAGUGGAUACUAGGGAUCAAGCCCUAACAAAACUAACUCGAUUACAUGAUGAAUCUCAUCCAACUCCUCAUCGACCAGCGAGCCUACAAAGGAAUUACUCACUCCCGGUGGGGAGCAUCAUAGAAUUGGUGAUGAACAAGGAUUGGUGAUGAUGAAAACCGAAGAUUCCCCUCUUCGGAGCCCCAAACGGGCUCUAGAGCUGGCCUCCCGAUGAAGAACAGGAGGUGGCGGCAACUCCAUAUAGUGAAACGUGAUGAAACUUUUUUCCUCAUUUUUCUUCAAAAAUAGGAUUUUAUAGCAUCAGAAUUAGGGUCUACGGGGCCACGAGGUGGGGACAACCCACCAGGGCGCGCCAGAGGGGGGGCACCCUGGUGUCUUGUGCCCAGCCAGGGGCCCCUCCGGUGGGUCUUGGCUCUAGUAUUUUUCUUUUAUUGUAAAAUAAUUCUCCAAAAAGUAUCGUUCCAUUCCAAGAACUUUUAUUUCUGCACAAAACCAACAUCGUGGUAGUUCUGCUGAAAACCACGUCAGUCCGAAAUAGUUUCAUUCAAAUCAUGCAAAUUAGAAUCCAAAACAGGAUCAAAAGCGUUAGGAAAAGUAGAUAUGACGGAGACGUAUCAGAAACCCGGCGGUCCGAAGCUCGUCUCCUUCGUUGGACCGAUGUCACCGUGUGGCGCCGCUCCGGCGGGCCGCGUAGUGCCUAACCCGGCUAUUUAAGCCGACCACCGACACCGAAACCCUACCCUUCCACAUUUUCCUCCUCCCGUCCGCCACCACCACCACUUUCCACUCCUAAUCCACCGCCACUAGUAGCCAUGCACCCACGCUGCCGGGUGAGGAGCUACCCAUUUCUAAUGCCGGAGCAUCGGCUGCAGCUCCUUGAGCAGAUCCAGGCAAGGCACGAAGCUCGAAUCGCCGUGGGGCUACCUCCGGAUGUAGUGGAUCCGGAGAAGUUGGAGGAGAAGGAAGGAUAAGGAGGAGGAGGAGGAUGUGGAGGAUGCUGGGGACGCGGAUCUGUAGGCGGAGCAGCAGUCCAUCCUCGAUUCCCACCACUUUGAGUCGGAUGCGGUGACCAGACGUCGUCGUCUGAAGGAGAUGGAGGCGGAGCAUGCCCCAAAGGAGGAGGAGAUGCUCUCCUACAUGGAUGUGGUCGAGGAGGAGGAGGAGGAGCCAGAGCCCUCCUACACGCCCGUCCACCCGACGCCCGGCACCGACGUCGUGGACAUAUCCGACGACGAAGAUUAGCUAGGAUAGUACAUAGUAUGUAGUACGUAGGAUUUCUGUUGCAUGCUUUGUAUGGAUCUAGGAUUGAAAUAUGAGAGAUUCGGAUACAGAGUAGCAAAUUUGAAGCGUGACUGGUCACUAGUCGCGUCCGCGGGCAUUUGAGGAAUGAGACUUGCCAUGUCCGGUUGUAGAUGCUCUCAUGCACUAAGCAAUUUUGGUCCUCAGAUCUCAUGUCCCAGUCAUUCCUGAUUGUUGGAUGGUUGUGCUGCUACUCUGGUGGAAAAAUCGGAGCCCUGUGGUGCAUUGGGCCUUUGUCCCGCAGUAAGCCUAGUUACCCCGACCGGUCAGGUCAAAGGAAAGAAGAAAAAAAUGUUUGCUUGCUUCUUGACCUUUCCUCUCUCUCAUGAGUCACCACCUAGGCGAACUGCUACCGCCGCCCACUCUUCUCUCCUCGUCCCCGCGCCGCAUCCCCUCUCAUCUCCUUGGAGGUACUAAUUUGACCACAUUGGUGAUGACACGGAGGAUGGGUCGGAGGUGCGGUGGUCGGACAAACUUAUCUCUCUUUCCUCCAUUGCGCGGGAAGGGUUGUGUCAGGACCCAUUACCUGAAGCCAUCUCCUUCCCUGAAGCUCUUUCUGAAGAUUACUAAAAAAUUGGACGGUUUUACUAUUCACCCACAACUCACAGGUACCUAUUCACUACGGCUGUUGACUGGGUACCGUACGUCAUAGAUCCAAGGGAUCACAAGCAUCUACUGUUUAUCUCCUUUCUCCCUAGUCUAGUGUUGCUAGAUAUAUAAGAUUGUGUAAGCCGAAUGGCAGGAGUAUCUUAUCUCUUGUAUUAGGGUUGAACCAUAGUCGCUGCCAUGUUCUGGCUGACAUAAGCUUUCCUUGUAAUUCCUAAAUUCUAGUAAAUCAUCCCUCUGAGAGUAGUAAAUCCCUGUGAUAUGUUGAGCUUCCUCUGUUCCUUUAUGUUUCAUCUAUGAACGUCUCUUGGUUCCUGAUAACCCACAAGUAUAGGGGAUCAAUUAUAUCCUUUCUCGAUAAGUUUUAGCCUUUCUCGAUAAGUAAGAGUGUCGAACCCAACGAGGAGCUAAAGGUAGAAUUGAUAUUCCCUUCAAGUUCUAUCGACCACCGAUACAACUCUACGCACACUUAACGCUCGCUUUACGUAGAACAAGAAUAAAACUAGAAGUACUUUGUAGAUGUAAACGGAUAGGUUUGCAAGAUAAUAAAGAACGUGAACUUAAAAGUUAGGGGCUGUUUUAAUAAAUGUACAAUUAGCUUAGUUUAGCGAGUGUGGAAAAGUGGUGGUAGGAUUUGCGGAAUUGUCCAUAAGCAAUUGGCUAAGCUACUAGACCGAUAGAAAGUUUUUAUUUGGGAGAGGUCACUACUAGCAUGUCAUCCCUUACUUGGAAUUCUAUGCACUUAUGAUUGGAACUAUUAGAAAGCAUCUGUAACUACCAAUUAAGGUAAAACCCAAUCAUAGCAUUAAGAUAUAUUGGCCCCCCUUAAAUCCGGUAUGAAUCAAUUUGUAUGGUAGGAAGAAGCUUUUGUCACUCUUGCCCUCCAAUGCAUAGUCCUAUCUGUUGGGGAAUGUAGUAUUUCAAAAAAAUUCCUACGAUCACGCAUGAUCUAUCUAGGAGAAGCAUAACAACGAGCGGGGAGAGUGUGUCCAUGUACCCUUGUAGACCGAAAGCGGAAGCGUUUAGUAAUGCUGUUGAUGUAGUCGAAUGUCUUUGCGAUCCAACUGAUCCAAGUACCGAAUGUACGACACCUCCGCGAUCAGCAAACGUUCAGCUCGAUGACGUCCCUCGAACUCUUGAUCCAGUUGAGGUCGAGAGAGAGUUCCGUCAGCACGAUGGCAUGGUGACAGUGACGAUGAAGUUACCAGCACAGGGCUUCGCCUAAGCACUCCGACGAUAUGACCGAGGUGUGUAACUGUGGAGGGGGGCACCACACAUGGUUAAGAUAAACUUGUGUGCUCUAGGGUGCCCCCUGCCCCCGUAUAUAAAGGAGGGGAGGGGAGGCCGGCUGACCCUCCUAGGGCGCGCCAGGAGAGGGGAAUCCUACUAGGACUCCAAGUCCUAGUAGGUUCCCACCUAAGGAAGAGGGGGAAGAAGGAAGGAAGAGGGGGAAGGGAAGGAAAGGGGUGUGUCGGUGUCAAAACCGGCGGAUCUCGGGUAGGGGGCCCCGAACUGUGCGUCUAAGGCUAAUGGUAACAGGAGGCGGGGGACACAAUGUUUACCCAGGUUCGGGCCCUCUCGAUGGAGGUAAUACCCUACUUCCUACUUGAUUGAUCUUGAUGAUAUGAGUAUUACAAGAGUUGAUCUACCACAAGAUCGUAGAGGCUAAACCCUAGAAGCUAGCCUAUGGUUAGGAUUGUUUUUGUCCUACGGACUAAACCCUCUGGUUUAUAUAGACACCGGAGGGGGCUAGUGUUACACAAAGUCAGUUACAGAGAAAGGAAUCUUCAUAUCCGAAUCACCAAGCUUGCCUUCCACGCAAAGGAGAGUCCCAUCCGGACUCGGGAUGAAGUCUUCUAUCUUGUAUCUUCAUAGCCCAACUGUUCGGCAUAUACAUAUAGUCCGGCUGUCCGAGGACACCUUAAUCCCGGACUCCCUCAAUAGCCCCUGAACCAGGCUUCAAUGAUGAUGAGUCCGGCGUGCAGAUUGUCUUCAACAUUGCAAGGCGGGUUCCUUCUCCGAUUACUACAAAGUAGAUCUUGAACAUAAGAAUCGUGUCCGGCUCUGCAAAAAAAAUUCCAUAUACCACCGUGGAGAGCAUAAUGUUUUCACGAGUCCCAUCCGCUAACAGCUUUUACAAUACGACAUUACGUCAUCGUCCAACCAUUAUUUCGAAUCGUUUUUUCGGCCUGCUGCUCCAUGCUUCGCGAGACGGUUUUAUUGGCACGUCUUGUCGAAGUGGAGAUCGUGUCCCCUUAUUGCGGGAUUGUCAUCAACACGGGUGUAGGUAACCCAACCGUCCCGUUGGUGUGAUUCCUUGGGAAUAGGCAUGUUUUAAGGCCACGUAGGAGACGUUUGAUAUUCGUCAUCUUUAUAAGGAUGCCGAGACCCGCCUUUCCCCUCUACUCUACUCCCUCCUCCUCUCACCUCGAGUUCCAACACCCAAGGCUUAACCAGUUGCUUCGAACCUCAGUCCAUGUCCGAAUCCAGCUUUCAAGGCCGGUGGAUGGCUUCCUCUGUCAUCGAGGAGGAUAUCACGAAGCUCAGGGAGGCGAGGUACUUGACCGCGAAAAUCCUUCACAGGCUUCUUGCACCAGGGCAGGUUAUCCCUACUCCUAGGCCUAAUGAGAGGGUUGUAUUUAUCCCUCACUUCCUUCGGGGGCUAGGUUUGUCCCUCAAUCCCUUCGUUCGAGGGCUCAUGUUUUACUACGGACUAGAUUUCCAUGAUCUAGCUCCGGACUCACUCCUUCACAUCUCAUCAUUUAUUAUCGUAUGUGAGGCUUUCCUCCGUAUCUCUCCACACUUCGGCUUGUGGCUCAAGACCGUCGAUGUAAGGCCGAGGAUAAUAGACGGGAGACACACAGAGUGCGGAGGUGCUCUGAUAAGCAAAUCAGCCGACGUCGUGUGGACAAAGGGUUCCUUCACCGCAACUUCUGGCCUAUGGCAACGGGAGUGGUUUUAUAUCAUGGAGCCUCACGGUACCAAGUGGGUGGCUUCACCCAUCUUCCGAUUCGGCCCUCUGCCACAGCUUGCAUCGUGGAUCACCAAGGGGUUGGACUGGGGAUUGCUAGAUGAAGUUCAAAUACUGCAAAGCCAUAUUCGAGACCUUAUUAAGAAGGACAUUGACCUUGUCAAGGUAAUUCAAGUUAUGCUAGUUCGUCGGGUCCUGCCAUGCCAGCGCCGACCUCUCCGUAUGUGGGAAUUCAAUCCAGAAGGACCGCGAACCAUUCAGCGCUUCUUCGGCACAACGCUCGAAGGGAUGUAUGAAUUAGUCUUCGAGUCAUGAAGAAGGUGUUCAGACACCACAGAGGACGCAGGCCUCGACUGCAACCAUCUGGAUUCCCUGGUAAGUACCCAAUUUCCGAACACGUUUAUAGUUUAAGUUUCUCAUAACAAAACUGAGAAGACCAUACUCUGCCAGGACUGGGUAAAGAAGGCGGAGAGGAUCGGAUGUUCUGCCCCUCUUCCCGAAAACUCAGCGGACCCAGUGUUAACCAGGAUGCUGGCUCCGGCAUCCUAUCAAGUUCCGUUGAGGGAAGAAAAGGAGAGGAGUGAAGAGGCCCAAAGCAGCCUUCAUACCGGAGGUGCGUCACGCACCGUAUCCGAGGAAAUCGGAACUCCCGUGUCGGAGGGUGAAUGGGGAGGGGAAUCUAACAUUCCCUCCCCCCACGGGAAGAAAAGAACCGCUCCCGAAGAACUGAAGGCAGAGGCUUCCAAGCGAGGGAAGAAAUCCCUAUCAGGGGGCCCGAAUUCAGGAGGCGAUAUUGCCACACAGUGCCCACAAGGGGGCCAGCCUUUAGCCGAACCGUAAGUGAACAAAGGUGUUUAAUAAGCAUACCCCGUUCUUUUCCCGUUUGUAAGAGUAAUAUUUUGAAAUGUAUGUUUUGCAGUUCGGCCUAUAGCCUCCCUCAACAAUCUUCGUCCUCGGGGGAUCUUCUUUCGGAGAUGAUGGAGAGUGAAACGCCGCCUCAUACUUCCCCGCCCCAUAAGGCGGACGACCCCGAGGUGUCGUCCCGGAGGAUCUCUCCCGACCCGCAAAGGAGCGCCAGGCCGGAAGAUGACUCUUCGGCUGCCCGAGGUCCAGGGUGUUCGGCUCCUGGAGAGACCAACAACAAAAGUCCCGUACCAUCCGAUAUACAGCCGGACAUAUGGACGGGUCUUCUGCGGCAAGCACCUAUCUCAGAGGAACAUCGUACCUUAAUGGGUACGGCGAUUGAGAGAAUUUCGUCCGCAAAAAGCGGAUUGAAUGAAGCCUUUAUGAGCCUUCUAAGAGGCUUUGAGGUACGUAAUGUAGCCUCUUGUUUUGUACUGUAAAUGCAAUGUGCACUGUGUAUAGAUAGAUCAGAGGAUCAAAAGAUAAAUAUGCUCAAGUAAUAAUUUUGCUAAUUUGUACAUAGGUGGCUGCAGCCCUGGCCACUGCCCUGGCUGCCCAAUUUGCCGAACUGAAGCGACAACUUGAUGUGGCGGAUGAUGACAUCACGCUCGUGAACAAGCGGCUUGAUGAGGCGCAAGGUAUGUCUUCUGGGCGGUCAAUGAGUAUAAGUAGGAGCAUGAUGCUGGAAUUUAUAGUAUGCUUGACUGUAGAUGGUGUUGCUGCUAUGGAGACCCUUCGGGCUGAGCUUGCCCGGGCCAAGGAGCAAGCCAAGAUAAGCAACACGGCUACCAAGAAGGCAGUUGGUGAAUUAAAAGCUGAACAGGCUGCUCAUCGCCUGAGUGAGGAGAAAAUAUCCAACAUGGCGCUUGAGCUAAGGGAUGCUGCUAGCCAAUAUGCACUUCUCGAGAAAGAGACCAAAGAAAAAGCGGCUGACCUUGAGAAGGCCUUACAAGCGGCAAAAGAAACCCGGUCAGAGGCCAGAGCGGCACGGGAGGAAAUCCGGCAAGCCGGGAAGAUCAUGGCUGGGGAGCCCUUUUUAUUACAAACUAAGUUCGGCGAUCCGAAGUAUGCCCUGCUUGAUCAAAUAUGGAGUUCUCCGGAUGCAUAUUUGGACUUGUCGAAGAGUACUUCUGAUGCGACACAGUUUUUCCAGGCCCAAGAAGGCCAUGAAGCGAAACGGCUUUUCUGGUCGCAGUUUAGCAUGCCAAGGCGUCCACUGCUGUUGAAUGAGCAGAUGGCCGAAUGGGCCGACCUCCACAGGAUAUCCGAACUUGCCAUGAAGGCUGUCGUGGACCGGCUAUGGCCUGGGGGACCAACUGCGAAUAGUUAUUUUGGUUUAGUGCAGCAACUUGUUUGUGCGAUGUCGCAUAUCGACGCUGUCAAGCGGUCAACUUGCAAGAAGGUGCACGGAUGUCCCUUGACCGUGUGAAGACGUACUGGGCGAAGAUGAAGGCCACCGAUAUUGCAACAGGGGGUCCUGCAACGUCUUGAGCUUGCGUUGGUUUUCCUUGAAGAGGAAAGGGUGAUGCAGCAAAGUAGCGUAAGUAUUUCCCUCCGUUUUUGGGAACCAAGGUAUCAAUCCAGUAGAAGGCUCCUCAAAAGUUCCCCGCACCUACACAAACAAACAAGAACCUUGCAACCAACGCAAUAAAGGGGUUGUCAAUCCCUUCACGGCCACUUGCGAAAGUGAGAUCUGAUAGAGAUAAUAUGAUAAGAUAAAUAUUUUUGGUAUUUUUAUGAUAUAGAUUGGAAAAGUAAAGAUACAAAUAAAAGUAGAUGGAAAACUUAUAUGAUAAAAGAUAGACCCGGGGGCCAUAGGUUUCACUAGUGGCUUCUCUCAAGAUAGCAUAAGUAUUACGGUGGGUGAACAAAUUACUGUCGAGCAAUUGAUAGAAAAGCGAAUAAUUAUGAGAUUAUCUAGGCAUGAUCAUGUAUAUAGGCAUCACGUCCGUGACAAGUAGACCAACUCCUGCCUGCAUCUACUACUAUUACUCCACACAUCGACCAACUCCUUCCUGCAUCUAGAGUAUUAAGUUCAUGAAGAACAGAGUAACACAUUAAGAAAGAUGACAUGAUGUAGAGGGAUAAACUCAUGCAAUAUGAUAUAAACCCCGUCUUUUUAUCCUCGAUGGCAACAAUACAAUACGUGCCUUGCUGCCCCUGCUGUCACUGGGAAAGGACAUCGCAAGAUUGAACCCAAAGCUAAGCACUUCUCCCAUUGCAAGAAAGAUCAAUCUAGUAGGCCAAACCAAACUGAUAAUUCGAAGAGACUUGCAAAGAUAACUUAAUCACACAUAAAAGAAUUCAGAGGGGAUUCAAAUAUUUCUCAUAGAUAAAGUUGAUCAUAAACCCACAAUUCAUCGGAUCUCGACAAACACACCGCAAAAAGAGUUACAUUGAAUAGAUCUCCAAGAAUAUCAAGGUGAACUUUGUAUUGACAUUCAAAGAGAGAGAAGAAGCCAUCUAGCUAAUAACUAUGGACGUGAAGGUCUAUGGUAAACUACUCACAACUCAUCGGAGAGGCCUUGGAGAUGAUGUAGAGGCCCUCCAUGGUCGAUUCCCCCUCCGGCGGAGCGCCGACGAAGGCUCCAAGAUGGGAUCUCGCGGAUAUAGAAGGUUACGGCGGUGGAAAUAGUUUUUCAUGGUGCCCCUCGAUGGUUUCAGGGUACAUGGGUAUAUAUAGGAGGAAGAAUGUCACGCCCAAUAUGCGACCCUAUCCAAAAGGAACUCAAAGGUCCCACCAAGGAUAGACCCGCAUAUUGAAACGCUUUUGCAAGGUGGAUAUCAUUACAUCAACAUUACAUAAUAGAUGGGGAUACAUACAAGAGGCAUACAAUGCCACGAAUACAACAUCACAAUACAUAAGAGCAUCAUCCAACUACGGAUGAAACCCAAACAGAAACUCAAACGACAUCCACCCUGCUAGCCCAGGCUGCCGACCUGGAACCUAUCCCCUGAUCGAAGAAGAAGCAGAAGAAGAACUCAACGCAAGCAAGCAUCGCUCUCGCGUCAUGAUCAUCGCAUAACUUGUACUUGCAACUGUUGUUGUAGUAAUCUGUGAGCCACGAGGACUCAGCAAUCCCAUUACCAUGGGUAUCAAGACUAGCAAAGCUUAAAGGGAAAGGAAGGGGUAAAGUGGUGAGGCUGCAGCAGCGACUAUGCAUAUAUGGUGGCUAACAUACGCAAAUAAGAGCGAGAAGAGAGCAAGCGGAACGGUCGACAACUAGUAAUGAUCAAGAAGUGAUCCUGAACUCCUACUUACGUCAAACAUAACCCAAAGACCGUGUUCACUUCCCAGACUCCGCCAAAAAGAGACCAUCACGGCUACACACGCGGUUGAUGCGUUUUAAUUCGGAUCUGGUGUCAAGUUAUCUACAAUCGGACAUUAACAAAUUCCCAUCUGCCUAUAACCGUAGGCACGGCUUUCGAAAGAUUAUACCCUGCAGGGGUGUCCCAACUUAGCCCAUAAUAAGCUCUCGCGAUCAACGAAGGAUAUACCUUCUCCUAGGAAGACCCGAUCAGACUCGGAAUCCCGGUUUACAAGACAUUUCGACAAUGGUAAAACAAGACCAGCAAAGCCGCCCGAUGCGUCGACAAUCCCGAUAGGAGCUGCACAUAUCUCGUUCUCAGGGCAACACCGGAUAAGUCAAGCUAUGAGUAAAACCAACCCUCGAGUUGCCCCGAGGUGGCCUCGCAGGUUGCUCGGUUCGGACCAACACUNNNNNNNNNNNNNNNNNNNNNNNNNNNNNNNNNNNNNNNNNNNNNNNNNNNNNNNNNNNNNNNNNNNNNNNNNNNNNNNNNNNNNNNNNNNNNNNNNNNNNNNNNNNNNNNNNNNNNNNNNNNNNNNNNNNNNNNNNNNNNNNNNNNNNNNNNNNNNNNNNNNNNNNNNNNNNNNNNNNNNNNNNNNNNNNNNNNNNNNNNNNNNNNNNNNNNNNNNNNNNNGGGGGCUAAAAUAAAGAUGACCCUCGGGUUGGCCGACCCAAGGGAAAGGGAUAGGUGGUGGUGAGGCAAAUGGUAAAACCAAGGUUGGGCCUUGCUGGAGGAGUUUUAUUCAAAGCGAACUGUCAAGGGGGUCCCAUAAAUCACCCGACCGCGUAAGGAACGCAAAAUCCGGGAACAUAACACCGGUAUGACGGAAACUAGGGAGGCAAGAGUGGAACAAAACACUAGGCAAAAGGCCGAGUCUUCCACCCUUUACCAAGUAUAUAGAUGCAUUAAUAAUAUAAGAGAUAUUGUGAUAUCCCAACCAAAAUCAUGUCCACCAUGGAGAAAUCUUCAACAUCACCUGCAACUAGCAACACUAUAAGAGGGGCUGAGCAAAAGCGGUAACAUAGCCAAACAACAGUUUGCAUAGGAAAGGUGUCAAAGGUUAGAGGUUCAUGGCAAUUUGGGAUGGCUUGAUAAACAGGUGAUAGGUAGCACAGCAAAGCGAUAGAACGAAGCAAUUAGCAUAGAAAUGAUAGCAGUGAGAUCCAGGGUAGUGGUCAUCUUGCCUGAAAUCCCGCAAGGAAGAAGAACGAGUCCAUGAAGAAGAUGAAGCCACGAAGACGAACCAAGCGUAGACGAACGAAUCCUCACGAUCGCAACGAAACAGGAACUAUCGAGAAGAAGCACACAACAUGGUAAACACACCACACAUGAACAUGACAUAAUGCACAACAAGCAUGAUGCAUGACAAAGCUACAUGAAGCUACUCAUGGCAAGAGAUGAUGCAAACAAGAGCAACACAUCAAGGCAAAUUUAAAUGAGGCCGGGAACAACAUAUAACAAUUCUGGUAAGUCCUCAUAUGCAUAUUUCAAAAUUGGUCCAGAUCUGAAUAAACCUUAUGUUCACGUUGUUAAACAUCAAGUUAAGAUGCACAAAGAUGAUCUACACGAGAUUCUAGUCAAGUUACAUAUAAAGUUCAUUUAGUUCGGAGCUACGGCCUAGAAGAUAUGAGCAAAAACAAGUUAAACAUGGCAUUGAUGCAAAAAGCAUACAAACAUCAAGAAAACACCUCAAAACAUGGAUGCAACAUGAUAAUAUGAAGCUACAUGCAAUUCUAAGCAAGUUUCAUAUAGAGCACACUCAAAACGGAGCAACGGUUCAACACACACACACAUGAAACAAGUUUAAAGGACAAGCUGUCCAAAACAGCAACUAGGCAUAUUGCAAGCAUCAAAACAACAUGCUACAGGACCUCAAAAAGAAAACAAAAGACAUGGGCAUGAUGUACAGGUAAAACAUAACAAAACAUGAAAACUAAGCUAUCUCCAGAAAUCACUAGAACAUGCUCAAACACACAUGGUACGAUUGCAAGUAAUAACAAUUCAGACUUUGCAGAAAAUAACAUCAGGUUGCAAUGUUUAGAGCUAUCAAACAAUAUGUUACAGGAACUUAUCAUGGCAAACAAAGGCAUGGCAUGACACUACUAAAUGCAUAGAUCAAAUGUUCUUUACUGACCAUGAGCCAAAAAGGAGCAGAAAAUAUGAUGGCACCCACGUAAACAUAGCAAGUUAUAUUACAGAUUCAAACAUGGCAGAAACAGAAUUAUGAAGGCAUGUUGGUGAGCUUGUGCAACUCACUACAGAGCAAAACAUGGCAUGGCAAGGCACCCAAUAGUAAUAAGACAUGUUUAUGAAGCUAAGCAUGGCAAGAGCAAGUCCAUAGGAUGCAUGGAACACUAGGAAAACACAUGGCAACAACUGAACUUGAUGUUAACAGGCUGACAGCAACAUUAUCAAGCAACUUUGGAGCAAGAUAACAACAAGUUACAGCAAGCUAUAAAUGCAACCAGGGGCAUGGAUGGAUAUAGCAAGACAUGUAGAACAAAACAUAUUUAGUGGACAUCUCCAUAUUAUGCAUAGAAUGAUUUGUAGAAGCAGGUUUACAUAGCAUCACGAAAUAACAGAUUCAGCCUAGCAAAACAGCAACAACAAGUACCCUACUUAACAAGCUUGAUUAACUCCCCACAAGUCAUUGCAUGACAAGAUAAGCAUAGCAUCAUCAAGAAGACAUGUUUAUGAAACAAACCAAGGCAAGAACAAGUUCAUAGCAUGCAAGGAUCAACUACAACAACCUUGGCAAAGUUGAAUAACAUGUAAACAAUCUGCCAGGAGACAUUUUGAAGCAAAAGUAGAGCACGAAAAUGACAUGCUAGACUACUCCAUAAUUACAACCAAGGGCAUUAACGGAUAGACAACAACCACAUGUUCAAAACACCCUUACUUAAGUAUCUCAAAAUAUGCAUGGAUCUCUCUGUAGCAACAAGUUUACAUGGCAUCAAAAUAACAGCAGAACAGGGACUAAAACCACCAACAUCACGAUGCCUAGUUUGCAUGCUUGUGCUAGUCACCACAUUGAUCACAAAAAUACAUGGUAAGCACCUAUUUAAAGAAGACAUGGCAUAGAUCAAAACACAUGUAGACAUCAACCUCAUAGGAUGCACACAUCAAUCAUGGCAAAAAUGACAAAUGAGCUCGUUCUGUUAACAGACAGCAGAAAACAUUAUGAAGCACUCUUGCAACGAUGAUUCAGGCAUCAAGAUGACCUCAAAUGAAUAUUCUACAAUGGAAUGAAAUGAUGUACUCGUUGAGGCGAACAAUUUGACAUAUUACACGCAUAAAACGGAGCUACGGAUGUAGAGAUAUGACAGGUCAAACAUGGCAUGAAAAUGUCAAAAAUACUCGGGGACUUAGCAAAAAUUCGGGGUCAACCUCAUAUUCGGAUCUGGAUCUGGGGGCGCGGAUUACGAGGCGGGCCGGGCUCGGGCCGGACUCCGGCAAGGUCGGGCGGUCUUCGGAGACGAGGGAGGAGGCCGGGGAGUCCGGNNNNNNNNNNNNNNNNNNNNNNNNNNNNNNNNNNNNNNNNNNNNNNNNNNNNNNNNNNNNNNNNNNNNNNNNNNNNNNNNNNNNNNNNNNNNNNNNNNNNNNNNNNNNNNNNNNNNNNNNNNNNNNNNNNNNNNNNNNNNNNNNNNNNNNNNNNNNNNNNNNNNNNNNNNNNNNNNNNNNNNNNNNNNNNNNNNNNNNNNNNNNNNNNNNNNNNNNNNNNNNNNNNNNNNNNNNNNNNNNNNNNNNNNNNNNNNNNNNNNNNNNNNNNNNNNNNNNNNNNNNNNNNNNNNNNNNNNNNNNNNNNNNNNNNNNNNNNNNNNNNNNNNNNNNNNNNNNNNNNNNNNNNNNNNNNNNNNNNNNNNNNNNNNNNNNNNNNNNNNNNNNNNNNNNNNNNNNNNNNNNNNNNNNNNNNNNNNNNNNNNNNNNNNNNNNNNNNNNNNNNNNNNNNNNNNNNNNNNNNNNNNNNNNNNNNNNNNNNNNNNNNNNNNNNNNNNNNNNNNNNNNNNNNNNNNNNNNNNNNNNNNNNNNNNNNNNNNNNNNNNNNNNNNNNNNNNNNNNNNNNNNNNNNNNNNNNNNNNNNNNNNNNNNNNNNNNNNNNNNNNNNNNNNNNNNNNNNNNNNNNNNNNNNNNNNNNNNNNNNNNNNNNNNNNNNNNNNNNNNNNNNNNNNNNNNNNNNNNNNNNNNNNGGCCCGACUCGGGCCCCGUGGGCCGCGGCGGCGGGGGCGGCGCGGGAGGCCACGCGGCGGCCUUUGAUUGGCUGGGCGCGGCGGCGGACGCGUCCGGCCAGAGAUGGACAUGUCCGGCGCGGCGCGGAGGAAAAAAUCUAGGCUUAGGGGGGAUUCAUCCGCGAAAAAUGGAGGGGAGGACCUAUUUAUAGAUUCUGGGAGCUAGGAGAGUCCAAAUGAGGAGCGGCUUUCGGCCACACGAUCGUGAUCGAACGACCGAGAGCAAGGAGGGGAGUUUGCUGGGUUUUUGGGCCAGUUUGGAAGGGUGUUGGGCUGCAAAGAGAAGGAGGCUUUUACGGUUACCCGGUUAACCGUUGGAGUACCAAACGACCUCCAAAUGGCACGAAACUUGACAGGCGGUUUACCGGUGCUAUACCAAGGCCGCUUGGCAGGACUCGGUCCAUUUCAAGAACGUUUAACACCCCCACACAGCAAAGACGAACACGUGCAAAAUGAAAUGCACAUGAUGACAUGAUAAAAUGCAACACGCAAGCAAAUGACAUGGCAACGAUGGCGAAUAACUAACAGACACCUGGCACAUCGAAUCCAGGGCGUUACAACACUCCUCCACUAACAAGAGAUCUCGUCCCGAGAUCUUAGGACCGAGACGGAAGGGAAAAUGGAUGAGGUGAAACAAGAACUCGAAAUAAGAAGCAAAGAAUCGAGAGCACUCGAGAAAAAGAGAGGAACGGCGAGAAUGACGAGAAUCGAAAGAUCACGGACUCAGAUAGACUAUGAAACCACUCCGGUUAGAACGAGAUAAAAAACGAAUAAGACUGAAAGGAUUUAGGUAGCACUCCGGUUGAAAAUGGAAGGAAAAGAACAUGAACUUCACAGAUGGAAUGACACUUGAUGAGAUAAACAACGCAAUGCCUCCGGAAGAAUUAAAAGAAUGGAAUGAAAUGAACUUAGAAGGAAGGAUUGAAUGGAGUUGUUGAGAAAAUCAACAACAAAAGAAUAAGCUUGUUGUGGACUUAUGGAUAACAUCUCAGAAAUUAUGAGGUGAUAACCAGCCACAAACGGAAAUGAUUGGAUAGCUGAGAAGAACGAAGAAAUGCAAAACUCCAAUUCAAAAGAAAAACGGAGAAUUAAUUGCACUUCGAGAUGCGAGAAGAAAAGAUACUUGAACUCCACCAACAAGAAUCUUGAUGAACUCUUGAAGAAUGAAUUAAAUCAUGAAGAACCACCAUGAAGAACUCCGGUAACAAAAGGAUGAUGAGAUAGAAUUGAAUAAUGAAAAGAAUAAGAUGAGCCUUGCGAUUAUUUAGAUGGAGGUUCCGAUGAAAUGGCUGAGGAAAUUCGAACUCCGGGAAAAGAAAAGAUGAAAACACUUGGAACUAGAAUUUAUUCAUUAAGAACAAACUCCAAAGAAAAGGAUUAAUCACUUGGAUGAACUAAGAAUAAGAUUUAUUGUAUGCUUAUCCUUCAUCAAAUUAAAUUGAUGACAAACAAUGGAUUUUACAUACUACUUAUUCUUCUUGAAAAAAGGAUUUAGAAGGGACAUAUCGCAAACUUGAGAAGGUCUUCAUGAACCACCGGUAGGAUUUGAAAGAAUGAAUGAAUUAAUAUGAUAAACAAGGAAAAGAAUCUUGAACGAACCGCCGUUAGAAUUCAGAAAUGACUGACAAAAGGGACUGAAUCACCGGGAAGAAGUAGAUGAUCAAAUAUGUUAGAAGGGAUUAUAUGCAAAAGAACACAGAGAUCAUGAGCUGAUUAACGAACACUUGAACGAAGCGCUGGGAUAAAUAGAGAACGAUAACUGGAAUGAUGGCCUCCGGUGAAAAGAAACAAGAAAAGAACUUCUGACAUACUCCGGAUAGGUAAGAAAAGGAAUAUCUGACAAUUGGAAUAAUUCGAGAGGGUAACAAGAAGCUAGAACCACGAAUCUUUGAGAGAACGGGCAAGAUUUAGAGGAACUCUUCUUCGAUCUUCAUAUGACGACGAGAAACAACACCAAAAUUACUGAGGUACUCCGGUAGAAAGAAAAGCAGAGAGGUUGAGCCAACAAUGAAAUGAUUUGAAAUCGAUCUUGAAAGGCAUGUGACUGAUGGAAUCCAUUCUUACAUCACAUUUGAAAAGAACUGAGAAUAACUCCGGGGGAAUUAGAAGAGUCAGGUAAGAUCCUGGAAAAAAACCUGUGGGUUAUGGGCCCACUGAAGAGAUAACACCGUUGGAAAGGGAUGUUGAACAGGUAGGUGAUGCACCGGAACAAUUGAAAUAUUUCAAUGAGGUGACAACCUCGAAUUAAUUGGAACACUGACGAAUCUUCUGAGAUGUCUUCUGAACUCCGGAAUGAUUGAAUGGCGAGAGGCAAACGAGCAGGGAGAAUACUUGAUCCGAGGAAAGAAUAUGAUCAACACCGAAAAACUUGAAUUGAGUGCACCAGAAAAGAAAAAAGAGAUGAAGAAUGUCAAAUGAGACGAGAAUUCACCGGUUGAGAUUAUUGAGGAAAGACUGAAGAGGCUCCACACGAAUGAAAUUGAUUGUCGAGAGAGACUCGGACUCCGGGAAGNNNNNNNNNNNNNNNNNNNNNNNNNNNNNNNNNNNNNNNNNNNNNNNNNNNNNNNNNNNNNNNNNNNNNNNNNNNNNNNNNNNNNNNNNNNNNNNNNNNNNNNNNNNNNNNNNNNNNNNNNNNNNNNNNNNNNNNNNNNNNNNNNNNNNNNNNNNNNNNNNNNNNNNNNNNNNNNNNNNNNNNNNNNNNNNNNNNNNNNNNNNNNNNNNNNNNNNNNNNNNNNNNNNNNNNNNCCGGGAAGAAAAAGGGUGGGAGGGCGGGAAAACAAAAUCAACUUGGAGGGGGAAAACGACGAAUAACUUGAAGAGACAACACCGGUUGAAAUCAUUGAGGAAAGAAAGCAAAGACUUCGCACGAGUAGGAUGGAUACUCGAUUACGGACUCCGGUUCCGAGAAGAAGAGGGGUGGGCGGGUGGGAAAAGAAAACAACUGAGGAUUGAACUCAAAGAUGAAGGGACUCGAGUCGACUUGACGAGAAAUGCACCGGAUGAAAAGAGCUGAGAACCAACGAUCGGAAAACUAACUGCGUGAUCCUAAAGAAAAAUUUGAAGAGGAAGAGGAGUAGUUUAAAACACCUACGUCAAUAUUCCUUACCAGAGCGACGAAGGGGAUGAGGAGUAAAAAGAAUUCCUACUCUCCGAUAUAACUAGACUCUGAAAACAGUUUUCUUCUAGACUCAACAACGGCCAAACUACACGAUCAAUCAAGGGGGCUCCUAGGGUCGGUCGAGGCUCUGAUACCAACUUGUCACGCCCAAUAUGCGACCCUAUCCAAAAGGAACUCGAAGGUCCCACCAAGGAUAGACCCGCAUAUUGAAACGCUUUUGCAAGGUGGAUAUCAUUACAUCAACAUUACAUAAUAGAUGGGGAUACAUACAAGAGGCAUAUAAUGCCACGAAUACAACAUCACAAUACAUAAGAGCAUCAUCCAACUACAGAUGAAACACAAACAGAAACUCAAACGACAUCCACCCUGCUAGCCCAGGCUGCCGACCUGGAACCUAUCCCCUGAUCGAAGAAGAAGCAUAAGAAGAACUCAACGCAAGCAAGCAUCGCUCUCGCGUCAUGAUCAUCGCAUAACCUGUACCUGCAACUGUUGUUGUAGUAAUCUGUGAGCCACGAGGACUCAGCAAUCCCAUUACCAUGGGUAUCAAGACUAGCAAAGCUUAAAGGGAAAGGAAGGAGUAAAGUGGUGAGGCUGCAGCAGCGACUAAGCAUAUAUGAUGGCUAACAUACGCAAAUAAGAGCGAGAAGAGAGCAAGCGGAACGGUCGUCAACUAGUAAUGAUCAAGAAGUGAUCCUGAACUCCUACUUACGUCAAACAUAACCCAAAGACCGUGUUCACUUCCCAGACUCCGCUGAAAAGAGACCAUCACGGCUACACACGCGGUUGAUGCGUUUUAAUUCGGAUCUGGUGUCAAGUUAUCUACAACCGGACAUUAACAAAUUCCCAUCUGCCUAUAACCGCAGGCACGACUUUCAAAAGAUUAUACCCUGCAGGGGUGUCCCAACUUAGCCCAUGAUAAGCUCUCGCGAUCAACGAAGGAUAUACCUUCUCCCAGGAAGACCCGAUCAGACUCGGAAUCCUGGUUUACAAGACAUUUCGACAAUGGUAAAACAAGACCAGCAAAGCCGCCCGAUGCACCGACAAUCCCGAUAGGAGCUGCACAUAUCUCGUUCUCAGGGCAACACCGGAUAAGUCAAGCUAUGAGUAAAACCAACCCUCGAGUUGCCCCAAGGUGGCCCCGCAGGUUGCUCGGUUUGGACCAACACUUAGACAAGCACUGGCCCGGGGGGGGGGGGCUAAAAUAAAGAUGACCCUUGGGUUGGCCGACCCAAGGGAAAGGGAUAGGUGGUGGUGAGGCAAAUGGUAAAACCAAGGUUGGGCCUUGCUGGAGGAGUUUUAUUCAAAGCGAACUGUCAAGGGGGUCCCAUAAAUCACCCGACCGCGUAAGGAACGCAAAAUCCGGGAAUAUAACACCGGUAUCACGGAAACUAGGGCAGCAAGAGUGGAACAAAACACUAGGCAAAAGGCCGAGUCUUCCACCCUUUACCAAGUAUAUAGAUGCAUUAAUAAUAUAAGAGAUAUUGUGAUAUCCCAACCAAAAUCUUGUCCACCAUGGAGAAAUCUUCAACUUCACCUACAACUAGCAACACUAUAAGAGGGGCUGAGCAAAAGCGGUAACAUAGCCAAACAACAGUUUGCAUAGGAAAGGUGUCAAAGGUUAGAGGUUCAUGGCAAUUUGGGAUGGCUUGAUAAACAGGUGAUAGGUAGCACAGCAAAGCGAUAGAACGAAGCAAUUAGCAUAGCAACGAUAGCAGUGAGAUCCAGGGUAGUGGUCAUCUUGCCUGAAAUCCCGCAAGUAAGAAGAACGAGUCGAUGAAGAAGAUGAAGCCACGAAGACGAACCAAGCGUAGACGAACGAAUCCUCACGAUCGCAACGAAACAGGAACUAUCGAGAAGAAGCACACAACAUGGUAAACACACCACACAUGAAUAUGACAUAAUGCACAACAAGCAUGAUGCAUGACAAAGCUACAUGAAGCUACUCAUGGCAAGAGAUGAUGCAAACAAGAGCAACACAUCAAGGCAAGUUUAAAUGAGGCCGGGAACAACAUAUAACAAUUCUGGUAAGUCCUCAUAUGCAUAUUUCGAAAUUGGUCCAGAUCUGAAUAAACCUUAUGUUCACGUUGUUAAACAUCAAGUUAAGAUGCACAAAGAUGAUCUACACGAGAUUCUAGUCAAGUUACAUAUAAAGUUCAUUUAGUUCGGAGUUACGGCCUAGAAGAUAUGAGCAAAAACAAGUUAAACAUGGCAUUGAUGCAAAAAGCAUACAAACAUCAAGCAAACACCUCAAAACAUGGAUGCAACAUGAUAAUAUGAAGCUACAUGCAAUUCUAAACAAGUUUCAUAUAGAGCACACUCAAAACGGAGCAACGGUUCAACACACACACAUGAAACAAGUUUAAAGGACAAGCUGUCCAAAAUAGCAACUGGGCAUAUUGCAAGCAUCAAAACAACAUGCUACAGGACCUCAAAAAGAAAACAGAAGACAUGGGCAUGAUGUACAGGUAAAGCAUAACAAAACAUGAACACUGAGCUAUCUCCAGAAAUCACUAGAACAUGCUCAAACACACAUGGUAAGAUUGCAAGUAAUAACAAUUCAAACUUUGCAGAAAAUAAUAUCAGGUUGCAAUGUUUAGAGCUAUCAAACAACAUGUUACAGGAACUUAUCAUGGAAAACAAAGUCAUGGCAUGACACUACUAAAUGCAUAGAUCAAAUGUUCUUUACUGACCAUGAGCCAAAAAGGAGCAGAAAAUAUGAUGGCACCCACGUAAAGAUAGCAAGUUAUAUUACAGAUUCAAACAUGGCAGAAACAGAAUUAUGAAGGCAUGUUGGUGAGCUUGUGCAACUCACUACAGAGCAAAACAUGGCAUGGCAAGGCACCCAACAGUAAGAAGACAUGUUUAUGAAGCUAAGCAUGGCAAGAGCAAGUCCAUAGGAUGCAUGGAACACUAGGAAAACACAUGGCAACAACUGAACUUGAUGUUAACAGGCUGACAGCAACAUUAUCAAGCAACUUUGGAGCAAGAUAACAACAAGAUACAGCAACCUAUAAAUGCAACCAGGGGCAUGGAUGGAUAUAGCAAGACAUGUAGAACAAAACAUAUUUAGUGGACAUCUCCAUAUUAUGCAUAGAAUGAUUUGUAGAAGCAGGUUUACAUAGCAUCACGAAAUAACAGAUUCAGCCUAGCAAAACAGCAAUAGCAAGUACCCUACUUAACAAGCUUGAUUCACUCACCACAAGUCAUUGCAUGACAAGAUAAGCAUAGCAUCAUCAAGAAGACAUGUUUAUGAAACAAACCAAGGCAAGAACAAGUUCAUAGCAUGCAAGGAUCAACUACAACAACCUUGGCAAAGUUGAAUAACAUGUAAACAAUCUGCCAGGAAACAUUUUGAAGCAAAAGUAGAGCACGAAAAUGACAUGCUAGACUACUCCAUAAUUGCAACCAAGGGCAUUAAUGGAUAGACAACAAGCACAUGUUCAAAACACCCUUACUGAAGUAUCUCAAAAUAUGCAUGGAUCUCUCUGUAGUAACAAGUUUACAUGGCAUCAAAAUAACAGCAGAACAGGGACUAAAAUCACCAACAUCACGAUGCCUAGUUUGCAUGCUUGUGCUAGUCACCACAUUGAUCACACAAAUACAUGGUAAGCACCUAUUUAAAUAAGACAUAGCAUAGAUCAAAACACAUGUAGACAUCAACCUCAUAGGAUGCACACAUCAAUCAUGGCAAAAAUGACAAAUGAGCUCGUUCUGUUAACAGACAGCAGAAAACAUUAUGAAGCACUCUUGCAACAAUGAUUCAGGCAUCAAGAUGACCUCAAAUGAAUAUUAUACAAUGGAAUGAAAUGAUGUACUCGUUGAGGCGAACAAUUUGACAUAUUACACGCACAAAACGGAGCUACGGAUGCAGAGAUAUGACAGGUCAAACAUGGCAUGAAAAUGUCAAAAAUACUCGGGGACUUAGCAAAAAUUCGGGGUCAACCUCAUAUUCGGAUCUGGAUCUGGGGGCGCGGAUUACGAGGCGGGCCGGGCUCUGGCCGGACUCCGGCGAGGUCAACCUCAUGUUCAUGUUUUAUAAAAUGUUCACAUAAAUAAAAAUAAAUAUUUUUUGAAACCUUCCUUCCCCAAUUUUUUUCUCCCACUGUGUUAAAAUACGCUCGUAUAUCAAGGUAUUGAGUCAUACUUAUUUGGUUAGCACAUAAUUUUUUUCUCCCCCGUUGCAACGCAUGGGCAUAUUUGCUAAUAACUAUUUAUUGUUUUACUGUUUGGACCAUAGUCUACAUAGUCAGGACUUACCGAAGGGCGCGGCGUGUUGCCGCGCGGGCUAAAUUAAUGUAUAAGUUGAUGAAUAGCCUUCACGGUUUAUUUUCGUCCCACCACUUUCAACCUUUUUUCUUACUGUUUUUUUCCCUCCCUCGCCCCAACCCCACCCACGUACGCAGCCAAAAAAACACCCCCAACCUCUGACCUACCUCUCCCAACUCCCAAGCCCUCCCUCUCUCCCUGUGCCGCCGCCCAUCGAGCUACUACAUACGGAUCAGCCGGCCACCACAGACCUCCCUCCCCAGCCGGCCGCCACGGCACCACCACCUCCUCCCCCCAGCAAUCAUGCACAUCGGGAGGCGACCAUGCGCCUGGCCUAGCUGGGUCUCAGCCUCCCUCCUCCCUUCGACCAAGGCCAGGAGCUCCCCUCCCCGACCGAUCUGACGGAGAAAGGGCUAGGCCUUGCCACUCUGGUGGUCGCUGUGGCCAGAUCCGGCCGGCGGAUCCGUCGUAGAGCCGACAGAAGGUGGGCGCUCGAGCUCAUCCAGCAGCUCGUCGUCGACCAGGAGGCCUCUACCUCGACUGCAUCAGCCCGUGGUCGUCCCCCCUCCAUCCACGUUGUCGUUCCUCUUCUCUUCCUCACCAGAUUGGCGGGAGCAACCUGUGCAGGACGACGAGCCAUGGACAGCCAGCACCCAGUCGAGCACCACCACACCCUCAGGUUGCCUCUUCCUCCUCGAUCCGUCUGUGUGGUACCCAGUCGAGACCCAUUCCCAGUCCCCUGACCCCAAGGAAAUCACAACCCCAUCUCCCUCUCGCGGUCUCGCAGCUCUCUCCUCUCGAACAAACUCUAGGGUCCCAUCGCAGCCAACCUCGGCUAACUCCUGAUGCCGCCGCUCAUGACGCCUAAGGCGAGCCAGAGAAGGAUCGAGGCGGUGGAUCAAACCUACCCCCUCCCGGUCCUCUCGUUCAUCUCUCCCUUUUGAAACAUCGGUGGCGGGUGGAGGCAUCAUUGGUGGCGGCAGGCCGGCAGCGAAUCAUGUAGGAUCCCAUCCCUCUCUCCCUAAGCAUGUCGUUCUCGUCCUCUCUGGGCUGCAAGACCAGAGGGGGCGGCGGCCUAAGGGCACGGGCGUCUGUGCGCUGGGGUGGCGGUGCGGCGGUCGCCGGAGGACGCGUGUGACUGGUCGGCUGAAGUUGCGGCACGACGCAGCAAUUGCGUCGGCGACGCCGAUGUCUGGAACUCUGGAUCUCACGCGGCAAUAGCCUCGGGAGGUCAUCCAGCUUGGGUAUGUAGCAAAAAUCUGCCGGUGCUAGCUUGUGUGUCUUGUGUCGGGCGAGGGAGAGGGACGUAUGUGCAUAUGGGUUGCAGUGUAGAGGCCCCGGUGGUUUCAGGUUGUAGGGCCGGGAGGUGAGGGAGCACAACGCACAACAACACUACAUCUCUGUUCUCUCUGUUAUCUCUCUUUGUACUGAAUUGUUCCCUCUUUAUUGCAGAAAAUUCAUGGCAACCAGGAGUCCAGGAGUAACAAUAUUUUUUAUUAAUUGGGGAUACGGUGAUGUUCAGGUGAUGUGGAACAUGCUGAGAUUUGGACUUCAAUCCUUGAUUGUGCACGGUUAUGCAUACUUCAUACCCAUGCUGCAAGCAAAUUUUCAUUUUCGAAGAGAGUAAUAAUACUAUAACUACAAAAUUCAUGUUGCAGAUUUAUGCUCCAUGUAGUAUAUUAUACUGGUCCAUUAUAGCUUUAUUCAGUUCACCAUUUGCACGAUCAUAUUCUGGAGCUUGAAAUGUACUCCCUUUUUCUGUAGGGAUUUCUGAACCGAGUAGAAUAUUAAUAACUUCUACGAAAUCAAAGAUCUCUGAGCUUUUAGAGUAUGCACCAUAUUGAUUUACUUAUCGGUUUAUUCACACAUAUAUUGAGUUCAUGAUGGAAAUAUAUACGAGUAUUCUCAAGGUAUGGAAUGUUUUUAAUUACUACCAGAUAGAAUUUGGGAAUUAGUCUUACAAAGCUUCCAAAAUCAGUGAAGUUAUACAGCUACUACAGAACUGGUUAAAAUCAGUGAUCUUCUACAAUAUCUACAUGACUGAUUACAACACUGCUCAUGUGAUUUGGUACUUUACUAUAUGGACGCUUGUUUUACCCCUGAGGCGAGCUAAUGAUUGGGAACUUAUAGUGCCAAACUGACCUGCAUAUUCUGUCAACCAUUUCGUUGUAGUAUUUAGGAUCAGCAUGUAAGCUUAAUUUGUCUCCUGAUGUUGUUUAAUUGUGUGCCUUAAAACUAUCUGUAGUAGCAUACCUUGUUUUCAACAUCAUUGGGGUCUUCGAUAGCUUGUUUAGAAUGCUAAACUGAAGAGUUGAAGUACUGAACAAAUCGAUACAGAGGUCAAUAAAAAGUGUUUAGGAGGAAUUUUUGGUCUGCAGUCUGUACUAAUAAAAUCUUGUGGUCAUUCGUUUUGACCUGAUCCAAGGUAAGGCCUAUCAGUGCUAACUUCCAGGCUGUAGAAACUGAAUUAUGUUUAUUGUAUUCCUGGACGCCAUACUGAUGGGAGGUAUACGAUAGUGGAGAAGCAACAUUCACUCUGUUUCUGUCAUGCAUGUAUGCACUUUCUUCAUCAUUCUCUGCAUCAUUCAUAAAUUCUGCACAUAUAAACAAUGAAUAUGUGUGAUAAAUUUUCUCUUUAUAGUAACGGAACUUUCGUGCGCAUGACACUCAUGUGUCUGAUUUCUAUCCAAUAAUUGAUCCAGUGGGGUGCUGUCAUUUUGUUCUAAGUAAUGGAUGGCUGGAUGUGUACCAUCGGACACUAAUCGGACAAAGAGCAUCGUCUGUGUAGCAACGCUCCUAUGGUAAAGAAACCUAUGUGGCAGUGACCACAUAUUGAACCUUGUAUUGGAUGAUGACACCUUAGGAAUAUAUGCUUUCUUCUUUCUUUGUAUUUUCUUCCAAGAGGUUUAGUCUAUCGCAAACUUCUUAUUCCUUAUAUUAUUUUUAAGGCUCUAAAAGCCACAGAGACAAGUGCAUCACGUCAAAGCAAUGAAGGUUAGCAAGUGAGAUGAAGCAUAUAAGAAUUCAUGCUACAACUGAAUUUUACUGGAUUAUUAUCACCUUCAAUCGUUCUUCCAAUUUGUUUUAUAAUCCCAGUGUAAUGAAUGGUGAGUCCAAGAAGAAGCAUCAUAAUUCCAAUGCUAAGAUGAUUCAAGCUUGAGUGAUACUCUUUAUGUCUAUUCUAAUAGCAUCAAACUUAUUCUUCUUCUUUUUUCUUUUUUAACAAACAUUGAUGUGCAGCACCCGCCAUAGACGGCCAUGUGAUGACAGUGCUUGGUUAGCAAUGCACUAGAAAGGAGUGACAUGCCUGAAUAGACUGAGCAACUUGGUUAGCAUUCAUGUGAACCCUAUUGAAGACUGUUGUGUUCCUGCUCUUCUACACUAUCAUGGGAGAUGAUGUACUAGCAUGUUGUCAACGUGAAGCGGGAGCUCCUGCAGAGGAGCAGCCAAAGCAUGUCACAGAUGUUCUCAUGUGGUUGCACCAGCAGUAUCUAUGCCAGCAACACAUCAAGAAGAGCGAGAGCUAUGGGAAACCAAUCAACAUGGGAGGUAGAUUCUCUUCAGUGCUAGGCCACCGUUACACUGCGGAGAGGUGGAGCAACACUCAUGUCACUAUUGUUGUUAAUUAAAACAUAGUUUUUGUUGAUAUCUGUACCAACUAACGAGUGCAUAUCCUUUUUUUCCUACAGUCCUAGAGGGAUCAAAACACAUACAAUUAGAAAGGAGAUGACAAGCCUGAAAAUAUAAGAAUUGAAGCAUUAUAUCUCUUUUCUUGUAUCUAUUUGUCUCUUUUGAAUUAUCCCAAUGUUUUGCAAUUUAGUUUUUCUGUAAAUCUAAUAUUGUAAUACUCCUUAUACCUUAGUAAUGCAUAGGUGUAGUAAUACUACAAUUUUGAAGGAUCUGUCCUUCUUGUAUAUCUUCCAUCUUUUUGUGUAUAUUUUUGUCAGUUGCAAAUUUUACACCAAGAAGUGGGAUCUCUCAGGAAAGUAUCCUUGUUUUUAUGCUUUUUAUUCUUUGGGAUUUCUCUCUGGAUCAUUAGUUGGCUUGCACAAUGGUAAGUAUUUGGGUGAUGCUUUUGCUGCUGCUCCACUACUAUAGCAAUGAGUUGUGUUCCUUGUGUACAUUAAUAAUGGUCAAAAUACUAUCGGCUAAAUCUGUUUUCACUAAAUUAUUAGAUUUGUGUGUAUCAUUUUGCACAACAGAAUAUUUAGAGUAAUAUGCAUGCUGCUACAAGUAAUAUUUAGAGUAAUAUGCAUGCCACAACAGUCAUGUACUCAAUCAAGUACUAUGCACUAGAAGCUGUGAAAAAACAUUAUGUGAGCAAACUUUAGUAACCUUAUAUUUGUAUGCAUGUUACAAACAAGAUUACAAUUUUUAUCUUGAAGCCGUAAAUGAUUUUAGCUACAUCCAUUUUCAGUAUGAUCACACCUUGAUGGCACUGAAAAUUCUUCUGUUAUUGGCUUAUUGCAGGUUUAACUCGAGUCUCCACUCUGUAGGCAUGAUUAAGUACAUGGUCAAACUACUGCCAUGAGAUUUGCGGCAUGGGUGGUCAAAUCAUCGCCUCAGAUUUGCGAUGGCCUGACUUUUGUAUUGCGAUUUCCUUUGGUGCCCACAGACACUGGAUAACUCUCAGAAUGUGUGAUGUAACGAGUAGUACAUCGUUUGUAAGUUUCCAUAAGUGUGAGCUCUGUUCUACUUUUAGUAUUUUCAUUUUUGUAUUGAGGCAAGUAUAAACUCUUUGAUUCCUGAUAACUAAUUACCCUAUUGGAUUUAAUGUGUGAUAAUCAAUAUAUUUUUGUUACAAUAUCUUUGUUCCACUAUUUUUUUUCUUGCUUCACACAUAUUCAAAUGCUAUGUUGCUAGCAUUGUAUGACAUGUUUUGUUGUUGCAUCAUAUUAUUAAUAGUAUAUAUUUGAUACUUCAGAAUCUGCCAAUAGUUAGAGCAGAUUUUUCAAGUUUAUAAGACAACAGCUAUAAAAGAAUCCUUAGUUGAAGCACUAUAAAAGAAUCCUCAGAGUUGACGGAGAUUCUGGAGUUAGAGAAGACAACAUUGUAGCAUCAGAGGUAUGCUGAAUGAAGCACGACAACUAUGAACCAAGCACUUAUGUAGAGAGUCGAGUGUUGAGGAGAAAAACAUCUUUGCACUUACAUUCAUGGCUUUGUUUUCUAUGACGAUGAUUCUAGAACUGCUAUAUCAAGAUUAUCACAAAACUCUUGGCCAACCGUCUACAAAAACUAAUCCUGCAGAUCAUUCAUCGAAUACAUCCACCAGUGCCAAGCUUUCAGGGAAAAGUCCUUCAUCCUAAAGCUAGAUUUCUCCAAGGCAUUUGACACCAUUGAUCACACUGCGAUGAUCGAGAUUAUGGCGGAACUGGAUAAAUCGCAUACAUGGCUGAACUGGAAAAAUAAUCAUCGGUCCUCCUGAAUGGGGUGCCAAGUCAUCAAUUUCACUGUUGAAGAGGAGUUCGAUAGGGAGACCCUUUGUCACCACUCAUUUUCCUUCUCGUCGCGGAUUUACUCCAAGCUGCAAUCAACGAUGCUAUGAAAAUAUUGUUACAUGUAGCCCUGACAUUCUGAUCAUUUUAAUACAAGACUGUAGGAAACUCUCCUUCAAUCACUCACAGUUACAAAAAAUGAAUCUGAAAAUAUCAACUAAUUAUAAAUGUCAUUUACGAUCACCAACGAUCUUACCAAUUUCAUGGCAUUAUAAGAAAAAAUAUCCUAGAAGUUGAGCGUAUCGGAGGGGCCUCAAUCCUUUUGAGCCAAGAAAAGUAGGUGGGGUAUGUCCCAAAUCUUUAGGAUUAUGUUUAUAUAUGCAACCAUUAGGCCUAGUUUGGCAACAACGUUUUUUUCGAACCAUGGUAUUCCAAAACCUAAGUAUUUCAAUGCAUGAGCAAUAAAUACUUCAGUCUGUAAAAAUCAUAGUUUUCUCAGUUUUGGUAAAACUGCGAGGUGUUUGGCAAGUGGCAGUUUUUCUCAGUUUUCUUUGGUUUGCAUCGACUGUUACGUUGUUGUAUGCAUAUUCAGCUACACUUAAGGAUCAGCUUGUACUAAUAGGCACCGUAUGCAUUCAGCCUUGCACGAGCAUGUUCUCCUAGAUGAUAUGAUCUGUAGUAGAGUUAUCUCUUGUAAUCAAUCAAAGACCGAGAUAUUUAACACAUGGUACUGAAGGUUGUACGUCCGCCGCAUCACAGGCGUUGAUGGCCAGAAGUUGGACACAAGAGAGACCAAGCAGCCAGCGCUUUCUCGGUUUUAAAAGAAGAGGUUAGGGCCUCUUUUUUAUAUACAACAAAAAUACCACAGUUUUAGAGAUACCACGGUUUGUUGAACUGCAGUAUUUUUUUCAUCCAAACGACUCAAAGUAUUAAAUACCAAAGUUUUUUCCAGAAACCACAGUAUUCCAGAAAACCACAAAAAUACUUUGGCUUCCAAACGCACCCUUAAAUUUUUUAAAAAGCCCGUAGCAACUCACGGGCAUUCUAGUAUCUCUAGUCUAUCUGUGAUAAUCGUGAGAGGGAAGACCAGUAACGUUAUAUAACACUAUAACAACACUAACUCAAACAACACCAGACUGAAACUGAGGCGUUCGUGGAUCCUAUCAUACUCUUAG